CCUACGGGGGGCAGCAGUGAGGAAUAUUGGUCAAUGGACGAGAGUCUGAACCAGCCAAGUAGCGUGAAGGAUGACUGCCCUAUGGGUUGUAAACUUCUUUUAUAUGGGAAUAAAAUGUUCCACGUGUGGGAUUUUGUAUGUACCAUAUGAAUAAGGAUCGGCUAACUCCGGGCCAGCAGCCGCGGUAAUACGGAGGAUCCGAGCGUUAUCCGGAUUUAUUGGGUUUAAAGGGAGCGUAGGUGGAUUGUUAAGUCAGUUGUGAAAGUUUGCGGCUCAACCGUAAAAUUGCAGUUGAAACUGGCAGUCUUGAGUACAGUAGAGGUAGGCGGAAUUCGUGGUGUAGCGGUGAAAUGCUUAGAUAUCACGAAGAACUCCGAUUGCGAAGGCAGUUCACUGGACUGCAACUGACACUGAGGCUCGAAAGUGUGGGUAUCAAACAGGAUUAGAUACCCGAGUAGUC
rnacentral:rRNA from 1 species